rnacentral:rRNA from 1 species
UACGGGGGGCAAGCGUUGUUCGGAAUUACUGGGCGUAAAGGGCUCGUAGGUGGCCAACUAAGUCAGACGUGAAAUCCCUCGGCUUAACCGGGGAACUGCGUCUGAUACUGGAUGGCUUGAGUUCGGGAGAGGGAUGCGGAAUUCCAGGUGUAGCGGUGAAAUGCGUAGAUAUCUGGAGGAACACCGGUGGCGAAGGCGGCAUCCUGGACCGACACUGACACUGAGGAGCGAAAGCCAGGGGAGCAAACGGGG